GAUGAACGCUGGCGGCGUGCCUAAUACAUGCAAGUCGAGCGAAUGGAUUGAGAGCUUGCUCUUAUGAAGUUAGCGGCGGACGGGUGAGUAACACGUGGGUAACCUGCCCAUAAGACUGGGAUAACUCCGGGAAACCGGGGCUAAUACCGGAUAACAUUUUGACCCGCAUGGUUCGAAAUUGAAAGGCGGCUUCGGCUGUCACUUAUGGAUGGACCCGCGUCGCAUUAGCUAGUUGGUGAGGUAACGGCUCACCAAGGCAACGAUGCGUAGCCGACCUGAGAGGGUGAUCGGCCACACUGGGACUGAGACACGGCCCAGACUCCUACGGGAGGCAGCAGUAGGGAAUCUUCCGCAAUGGACGAAGGUCUGACGGAGCAACGCCGCGUGAGUGAUGAAGGCUUUCGGGUCGUAAAACUCUGUUGUUAGGGAAGAACAAGUGCUAGUUGAAUAAGCUGGCACCUUGACGGUACCUAACCAGAAAGCCACGGCUAACUACGUGCCAGCAGCCGCCGUAA
rnacentral:rRNA from 1 species